rnacentral:rRNA from 1 species
AUUGAACGCUGGCGGCAUGCCUUACACAUGCAAGUCGAACGGCAGCACGGGAGCAAUCCUGGUGGCGAGUGGCGAACGGGUGAGUAAUAUAUCGGAACGUGCCCAGUCGUGGGGAUAACGUAGCGAAAGCUACGCUGAUACCGCAUACUAUCUAUGGAUGAAAGCGGGGGAUCGCAAGACCUCGCGCGAUUGGAGCGGCCGAUAUCAGAUUAGGUAGUUGGUGAGGUAAAGGCUCACCAAGCCGACGAUCUGUAGCUGGUCUGAGAGGACGACCAGCCACACUGGGACUGAGACACGGCCCAGACUCCUACGGGAGGCAGCAGUGGGGAAUUUUGGACAAUGGGCGCAAGCCUGAUCCAGCAAUGCCGCGUGCAGGAUGAAGGCCUUCGGGUUGUUAACGUAGUC